AUAUCAACAUCAAUGCAUAAAUAAGCUGAUUACUAUUUUUUUUAGAAAACAAAUAUGUCAUUUAUAGCAAUAUUGGCGUAUUUCUUAAUAUAAUCAGCAGGAGUUUUUUCAAGUUCUAGCAAUCCUUUAAUUUCAACCGGAGAAAUAGAAGCAGGAGAAAUAGAAGAAUAUUAUUCACCAUGUGACUUAAGUGAUGGAGAAGAGUUAGAAGAAUAUUAUUCACCUUGGAACUUUAGUGACGGGGAAAAUGUUACAGUAGAAGAGUUAGAAGG